GGAAGGAGUCUCAGAAGAGUAUGUGUCAACCAAUAAUAAAAUCAGAUGGCCCCGGAGCUCAUUUCUGUUUAGUGGGGAUGCAUCCAGUAAAUGCUGAAAGCACCUUGUCAGUUAGACUGAUAAAAAAAAAAAAAAAAAAAAAAAAAAGCUGCUCUCACAGAUAGCCUCUGUAUAUCUGUAUUAGUCAGGGCUCUCUAAGGGAACAGAACCAAGAGAAUGAACAUAUCUUAAAAGGGCAUUUAGUAGAUUGGCUUGCACAGUAGGGGCUGAGUUGUCCAAUAAUGGCCGUCUACAUCCAGAAAAGCUAAAAUCCCAGUAGCUGCGAGUCCCUGCGGCCAGAUGUCUGCCUCAGCCUCUCAACAUGACACUGGAGGCAUGGAGCAUUCCUGGAGGGCCCUGGUCAUCAGCCCGUGUUGGAAAGUUGAGGAAGCUGGGUUCAGAAGUCAAUGAAUGAUAUAGAUACCCGAGAACAGAAGGGAAAGCAGACAAGUGUAAAGCCCUAGCCUCUACUCUGUUAUAUUUGGUCUACAAAUUUUAGGGGAGAUCUUAUGUUGCAACUAAUCCUUCUCACAGAGCCUCCCAGGGCUGUGUCUCUAUUGAUUCAGAAUCCAGCUGUGUUGGUACAGUUAACCAUCACUGUGCCUUAGAGUACUUAAGGUAGAAAUCAGAGCGCAGGGUGCCCCCCUUUCCUAAACCCUGGCUUUCCUGAGCAUGCUGCUUUUUGUUUUGAGGAAUUUUUAAAAAUUAUUUACUUAGAGGCAGAGGCCUACCUGACUCAGCAAUGGUGGUGAGAGACCAGCCUGUGGGAAGGUUCUUUCCUUCCGCCAUGUGGGACCUGGUUUUCAGAUUCGUGUUGUCAGGCUUAGGGGUAGUCACCCUUACCCACUGAGCCAUCUUGCCUACCCCCCUGACUGUCUUACAAAGAUCCUCAUAGUCCAGAAGAAAGACAAGAGCCACUUUUAUGGACUUCUUUGUUUCUUUCUGUUUACUCCAGAACACUGCCUGGUCCAGGCUCACACUGUUUUGUCUUCUAGGCCAAGUCGAAUCUCUGGCUUCAUAUUGUCUAUUUUCUAACUACGGACGAGUAUGAUUUAUUAGCUUUUGUCUCCAGCUGUUCCCAAAAAUGGGACCUUUUAUUGUAGAAGGGAAAUUGUUGAAGUCCCAUCACCUGCAGAAUAGAACUUGGCUCUUUCUUCCCCCAAAUUAACUAAGAUCAGUCCGUUUUCAGCGGGCAGUAUCCUUUUAUUAGUUUUAAUUCAUUUUUCUGCACAUCUGAUUUUUUAUUCAUAAUGCUUUUGAUGAAAAUUAAUUAGUUUCUUUUACAGCUGAGACAAUAUUGUUGUGGGCACCUAGGCAUUGUUAUACAAAAAAGCUUCAUUGUAAAGGCCACCCCAGGACUCCCAGUCUGAGUCCUUACUGAAGACACUGGGUCACACCAUGAGGCCCUGGGAACAUGUGAGCUCUGUGACUGCAGAGGUCCGAGCCUCAGUUUCUCCCUCAGUACAGUAAGGACUUUGACUCAGUUAAAUUGUAAGCUUUCUUUGAUGGGCCCGUCAAAAGGAGACAGAUGUGUAGCAAUGUGACAUGUAGAUCAGAGAGAUUCAUACUAAAACUGAUUCCUGUCAUACUGCUUGAGCAUCGUCAUCUCCCAUCAGAAACUGUCAAUCACCAAGUAACCAUUUAGGGAAAAUGGGAAGUGGUAAGUAGAGAAGAGGGUGAGGAGACAUGCUCCCCAAAUCUAAUCACUGAGACAUGGAAAAGCUUGAACAUGCUCACCUGGAGAGGCCUGGGCACACUCACUCAUCUGCAGGGGCCUGGGAACCGUCACCUGGGUGCUUUUACCUGAAAGGAUCUGGCAGCUCUCACAUGGGUCCUGCCACAGGGAAGCACCUGACAGCUCCCAGGGAAAGCUUGGGCUCCUCCCUAGAGUGUCACUCUCAUGCUCACCUUGUUUCUGGGUCCCAUCAAGUUUGAGAUCGAGGCCUUUGCCUCGAUUCCCCAUACACAGCUUUCCUACAGCUUAAUCUCUUUUGCAACUGGAAACUGUAAAAUCAAAUUUCACUAACUGAAAACACCAAAAUCAAAACAAAACCCCACUUCUCUAACAAUAGUUUCAGCAAGGAAGAAUUCGGGGAGAAAAAAAGAUCACAUUUUUAAAGUGUGAUGGUUUCACGCCAACAGCAGCUUUCCAGUUAUCGUUCCAUCUCGUUGCUGUCUGCCUUAGGCCCUGCAGACAAAAGUCAACCCAUUUACCUACCCGUGCAGCUGUGGUCAGAUUAAGCAGGAGCCUUCAUUUUUAUGAGACAUAGCAUUCUGUUUUUGCAAAAACCCAUUAUGAGUCGAACCAACUGAAUUAAUCAAAUUAUCAUUUACUUACCAAAUGCUCCUUUAUUAGCUGCAGCAUGCGCUUCAGCAGAGCCCCUCCCACCACUCAAGAGGUCAGGGUGGGGGUGGGCUGGAGAGCAGGAUUCUGGCCUUGUGAGGUUAACUACCCAGAGAAAGAGCCACUGAGGGUUCAGCCAGAAAGUGAGACGUGAGGUGAACUCACCAAAAGAAUGAGGGAAGAACCAUUGGCUCAAACGGAAAAAGGCUGAAAGUCUACAUACUCUAAGCAUGCCUGGAAGACAGUCAAGUAAUGCAACUGCCUCCGAAAGGCAAAAAGAUUGGGACUGGGAGAUGCCACAGCCGGUGAAGUAUUUGCUGUGCAAGCAUGAGUACCCGAGUAGGAUCUCCAAUACCCAAGUCAAAGCCAGGCAUCAGAGCAUGUGUCCCUAACCCUAGCUGGGCACUGGAGAGCAAAGACAGGAGCUUCACCCUGUUCGAGCUGGUGAGCUCCAGGCUCACUUAGAGACCCCAUCCC
rnacentral:lncRNA from 1 species